CUUGUCCAGUAGCUGAAGCUUUGCACUGCCGGCCUUGCGCCACCAGACUCUAACAGAGCAGCAUCAUGCCCUGAAGCAGAGACACCACCAGCUUGGCUGAUGGGCUCAGCUCUGUCCUGUGGUGGAACCAUUCGUGGGCCAGUUGGAAGGCAAUCUGACUACCACAGCAGAUAUCCCACAGUUAUCUCACCCAUCUUUAGAAUAUCAAGGACUAGAAGAUGCACUACAACAGAUUAUUAAUCCAAAGCUGAAUUUCUCUAUUAC